rnacentral:rRNA from 1 species
GUUAGAACGCUCGUAGUCGGAGUUCGGGGCGGGCCGACCGGUCUGCCGAUGGGUAGCACUGGUCGGCGCGUCCUUCCUUCCGGAGACCGCGCCUACUCUUAACUGAGCGGGUUCGGGAGACGGAUCGUUUACUUUGAAAAAAUCAGAGUGUUUCAAGCAGGCAGCUCGCUCUUGCGUGGAUUAGCAUGGGAUAAUGAAAUAGGACUUUGGUGCUAUUUUGUUGGUUUCGAACACCGAAGUAAUGAUUAAAAGGGACAGUCAGGGGCACUCGUAUUCCGCCGAGAGAGGUGAAAUUCUCAGACCAGCGGAAGACGAACCACUGCGAAAGCAUUUGCCAGGGAUGUUUUCACUGAUCAAGAACGAAAGUUAGGGGAUCGAAGAGGAUCAGAUACCCUCGUAGUCUUAACCAUAAACCAUGCCGACUAGGGAUUGGGGGAUGUUCACUGUUCGACUCCCUCAGCACCUUACGGGAAACUAAAGUCUUUGGGUUCCGGGGGGAGUAUGGUCGCAAGGCUGAAACUUAAAGGAAUUGACGGAAGGGCACCACCAGGUGUGGAGCCUGCGGCUUAAUUUGACUCAACACGGGGAAACUUACCAGGUCCAGACAUUGUGAGGAUUGACAGAUUGAGAGCUCUUUCUUGAUUCGAUGGGUGGUGGUGCAUGGCCGUUCUUAGUUGGUGGAGUGAUUUGUCUGGUUAAUUCCGUUA